rnacentral:rRNA from 1 species
UACGUAGGGUGCAAGCGUUGUCCGGAAUUAUUGGGCGUAAAGAGCUCGUAGGCGGUGUGUCGCGUCGGCCGUGAAAACCUGCAGCUUAACUGUGGGCUUGCGGUCGAUACGGGCAUCACUGGAGUUCGGCAGGGGAGACUGGAAUUCCUGGUGUAGCGGUGAAAUGCGCAGAUAAUCAGGAGGAACACCGAUGGCGAAGGCAGGGAUCUCUGGGCCGAUGACUGACGCUGGAGGAGCGAAAGCGUGGGGAGCGAACAGG